AUGAAUCAGUUGAGUCAAUUACGAAAAUCUCUGGAGCUUGGGAGUAACCAGGGUCUGGCUGUUGGCUUGUCAAUCUUGGUGGUGGUGACACUUGUUAUUGCUUCUAUUUAUGUCUCGGAGGUUUGGGCUCCUGUUGUGGUGGCUACCCCAAAGAUGGGUCGGGUUGACAAUUCGUCCACUCCUUUUAGAGGAGUUUCUCCUAAGCGAGUUCGUUUAACAGAGGACGAUGAACGGGAUGCUCUAACUCUUUUCUUCUAA